UACGGGGGGGGCAAGCGUUGUUCGGAAUUACUGGGCGUAAAGGGCUCGUAGGCGGCCAACUAAGUCGGAUGUGAAAUCCCCAGGCUUAACCUGGGAACUGCAUCCGAUACUGGAUGGCUUGAAUUCGGGAGAGGGAUGCAGAAUUCCAGGUGUAGCGGUGAAAUGCGUAGAUAUCAGGAGGAACACCGGUGGCGAAGGCGGCUUGCUGGGCCUUACCUGACGCUGAGGAGCGAAAGCGUGGGGAGCGAACAGG
rnacentral:rRNA from 1 species